rnacentral:rRNA from 1 species
GGACGAACGCUGGCGGCGUGCUUAACACAUGCAAGUCGAGCGGUAAGGCCCUUUCGGGGGUACGACGAGCGGCGAACGGGUGAGUAACACGUGGGUGACCUGCCCUCAGCUCUGGGAUAAGCCUGGGAAACCGGGUCUAAUACCGGAUAUGACUCCAUGACGCAUGUUGUGGGGUGGAAAGCCUUGUGCGGCUGAGGAUGGGCCCGCGGCCUAUCAGCUUGUUGGUGGGGUGAGGCCUACCAAGGCGACGACGGGUAGCCGGCCUGAGAGGGCGACCGGCCACACUGGGACUGAGACACGGCCCAGACUCCUACGGGAGGCAGCAGUGGGGAAUCUUGCGCAAUGGGCGAAAGCCUGACGCAGCGACGCCGCGUGAGGGAUGACGGCC